AUGAGUGAACGAUUGAGCAUGUAGAGAUUUUCUUUUGUGUUUUUAAGGAUUGCAUUUAUUUUAAACAAGAAUAUACUAUCCUUCAUCUAGUACAGAGGAAGGCAUCUACAAAACCGUGUGUCAAGUGCCAUGCCUGACGGUAUAGAAUGAUCGCGUCUUCGAGAAAGAACCGCUACCCUGGAACAGCUGUCAAGGCCCAGCACAACCCACACAUUCCGGGUUCACAAUAUGUGCCUAAAUCUUUUCAGAGGACAACUUUGACUUUAAAGAAGAGAUUCCAAGUGACAUCUUGAAACCACCUCACCAGAACCACUGGAGCACUCGUGGCCUCAGCACACUGCUUAUCACUUGAAAAAUGGAGGAACAAGUAUUAUAUUUAUCUGUGUGUCUGACAGUGUGAGAUGUUAGACUGAGAGAAAUGCAAACAAAUAAAUCACUUAAUCUUGAACACUUUGCAUUGUAAAGAGAGUGAAAGUCAAACCCACCAAGCUGCCUUGCUGAAAGCAUCUCCAAGGUUCUGUGGGCUUUGCUCAGAAGACCUUGAUGUGUGUUUGCAAUCUGUCAUUUUAUCAAUGAUACACAAACAUAAUUAGCAUGUGUAUGUACUCACACACUAAUUACGUGUAAGAAUAUAUUAUCUAGGAAUAUGCCAUUUAUAACUUUGUACUGUGACGUGUUUUCUAGUCUCAUCCUAUUAGUAAUUCUGUCAAAAUCCUAGACACUAGUAGAUAUUAGUAUUUGAGAUGAUAUGUCACAGUCUGAAUAAGACUCAGAUUGUUCUAGUCAUGCUGAGUUUCUCAUACAUUUUUUUAAAGUGCUUCCACCAUGAACCUCUUUGAGAAAUGUCAGUGGCGAAACCUCCCAAGCUAAUUUUCUUUUUCUAUGUUCCAUCUUCAAAUGCAGACAGUUCACGUGAAGUACCCCACAUUUAUUGAUCUUAGGGUUGAAUAUAAACGUAAUUAAAAGCUA